rnacentral:tRNA from 1 species
UUACAAGUGGCGGAAUUGGUAGACGCACCAGAUUUAGGUUCUGGCGCCGCAAGGUGUGAGAGUUCAAGUCUCUCCUUCCGCACCA